ACGGGAAACCCUUUCUGAACAAGCCUUACUGUUGCGAAUUCCUGUCCCGGUCGUCGGGCAGCCACUGGACACUUGCCCAUCUUUCAGCCUUUAAAUUGAGAGGAACCACCGAAGAACGCAUGCACAGUGUUUCCCAAAAGCCCUGUAUCCUUGGGAGCAACCAAGAUGUAAUCGGUCAGAGAAAUGGUUUCUUCCUGGAUCCAUGUGAGUUAAACUGUUGUGGGACUGGAGACACUCGCGCCUGCAGAGUUGUGGUGACAAGCAAGCCCUCCUCUUUGCUCCCUGUCUGAAGUCUGCAUAUUCCAUGAAUCCUUGAGGGAGCCUGAUUCUUAUAAGGCAGGGGUCACUAAAGGAACCACAACAGUGUCUCCCUUGGAGAAAAGGAAAGGAAAUCACCACCGUUUAAGAACGCCACAGAAUUCAUUCCCUUCAGAUACUGUCCGUGUGUGAGUUACACGUGCCAACUGCCAGGAAACACUCCCUGAGUGGAUAACACACCCAACUGUGCCUUUGGCUGCCUACAACAGUGGCUGCCAGGUAUUAGUUGUUUUUCCAGGCCCCAUUAAGGACUCUUCAUCCUGUCCAGCAAGAGGCAUUAAAGCUUUCACGAGUUAAAGUUGUUCCCAGCUCGGUGUUAUUCAAAGGCAAUUUACACUAAUUAUUCGAGUCCACAGCGUUACCCAUAUUAGCAGAACGAACCAUCUCAGCAGGAAGCUUCAAUAGCGACCCCUCCUGGCGACCCAAGCAGCUUACAUGGUACGAAACAGCGACUCCUCUUGGUGACCUGAACAGUUAACAAGAUACUAACUGCACUCGGCCAAAAAUGAGUGCGACUUUCAUUUCCUCCUUUCAUCCAGGCGCUCUACAAGCAUUCUUAUACAGUUGUAUACGCUCAUGCUCUGCCCUCCAGCCGCUCAAACGAUGAAGGUUAUCAAGGUGAAAAACAUCUAUUGAGAUGGAUGGAGAGGAGAGUGGGGCCCACCAGGAAGUGAGGUCGCAACUGACCAAACAAGCACGGUAAAAUAUUCACAAAGAUAAAUUAAAAAAAAAAAUCACAAAGCAUGGGGAAAGAGAACCGAAGGUUGAAAAAUAGCAAAUGUAAAAAGACCCCACGGCACACAAUAACAUCACACAUUCUGGGACCUGGAAAUUAAGUGGAAUAUCCCAGCAGUCCACAGCUGUCCACCCUGACAAGAUAAUAAAGGGGAGGGAGGCUAGAGAUAACACAGAGACUUAUCUCCAUUCAUAUGUCCUGGAAAUAUCGUGGACCCUGCAUUUUUGAGGCCUCCAAACUCUUUGAUCACCUAUCCGCACACACCCCUCACAAAGGUUUGAUCAUCACCUUCCUAUCUAGCUAUUAUGUGUUCCUCUGUUUCAAGCUAUGUAGUGCUACCCAGUAUUACUUGCUGUGCUCCCCAAAUGUUGGUUCUAAUAUUUCUCCCAUGCCAACGGAAUGUUGACCAUGUCAAAUGCCACCAAGUUGAUGGGGUCCAAGGACAUCCCCGUAUACCAUUACUGUCCAUCUCUGCAAGACUUAUAUUCCUCCAUCUCCUCUUGCCACCAGAGGCCUGACCACUCUCUAAGGGUCCUGACCCAGUCAGAACAAAACCAAAUGAGGUCCAAAGCAAUUCCAGCCAGCGGGACAGCCUGUCCUGUAUGUCCUCUGCCCACAGGGAACCUGGGUCUGUAUCCCAGAAUAUCUCUUCCCGUCUCUUUUGAGUUGAAUGCAUUUGUGAACCACUGCCAAGAUCCCCAAGAGUAUCCAUAAAUUCUAGAACCUAGAAUAUAGCUAGAUAUACAACAAGUCCCUAUGGGUUAACAUGUAGGUCAAUUAACAUAUGAUAUAACCAAAAUGAAUUCUGGUAGAAAUAAAAAUGUGAAAGUUAAAAUAAAGUCAGAAUCUAAUUAGUA
rnacentral:lncRNA from 1 species